CGGACGGGUGAGUAACGCGUGAGAAUCUGGCUCUAGGUCUGGGACAACCACUGGAAACGGUGGCUAAUACCGGAUGUGCCGAGAGGUGAAAGGUUAACUGCCUAGAGGUGAGCUCGCGUCUGAUUAGCUAGUUGGAAGUGUAAUGGACUCCCAAGGCGACGAUCAGUAGCUGGUCUGAGAGGACGAUCAGCCACACUGGGACUGAGACACGGCCCAGACUCCUACGGGAGGCAGCAGUGGGGAAUUUUCCGCAAUGGGCGAAAGCCUGACGGAGCAAUACCGCGUGAGGGAGGAAGGCUCUUGGGUCGUAAACCUCUUUUCUCAGGGAAGAACACAAUGACGGUACCUGAGGAAUAAGCAUCGGCUAACUCCGUGCCAGCAGCCGCGGUAAUACGGAGGAUGCAAGCGUUAUCCGGAAUGAUUGGGCGUAAAGCGUCCGCAGGUGGCAAUGUAAGUCUGCUGCUAAAGAGUCUAGCUCAACUAGAUAAAAGCAGUGGAAACUACAUAGCUAGAGUACGUUCGGGGCAGAGGGAAUUCCUGGUGUAGCGGUGAAAUGCGUAGAGAUCAGGAAGAACACCGGUGGCGAAGGCGCUCUGCUAGGCCGUAACUGACACUGAGGGACGAAAGCUAGGGGAGCGAAUGGGAUUAGAUACCCCAGUAGUCAAU
rnacentral:rRNA from 1 species